rnacentral:rRNA from 1 species
UACAGAGGGUGCAAGCGUUGUUCGGAAUUAUUGGGCGUAAAGGGAGUGUAGGCGGUUGGGAAAGUCUUCUGUGAAAUCUACGGGCUCAGCCUGUAACGUGCAGAGGAAACUACUCGGCUUGAGUGUCGGAGAGGAUAGGGGAAUACCCGGUGUAGAGGUGAAAUUCGUAGAGAUCGGGUGGAACACCAGUGGCGAAGGCGCCUGUCUGGCUGACAACUGACGCUGAGGCACGAAAGCGUGGGGAGCAAACAGG